rnacentral:lncRNA from 1 species
AAAUAUCUCAUAAAUUCUCACAGCUUUCAAAUCCUCUUCCCCAAGCUUCAGCAAGACAGAAAAUAGAACAACACCCAUUAGCAGAUUUACCCACUCCUUAGACGAUCUCUUUCCACCAUCUCCACGGCGUAACCAAGUACUCCUCCAUUUUUCAUCCUUUUGUUCUCCAUUUCUUAGCCCUUCUGUCGCUCGCAGAUUUGCAACUUCAUUCUUUGUCCUUUUGCCAUGUAAGAACUUGCAUAUCUGAAAAGCUUUACUUAGCCAAAGACAGUCUCUAAUGAUAACACUGAUCUCCAAUUUAUCAUCCUCAUCCUUUUGUAGUUUUUUUUUUUAUUACUGAUAAAGCAUCACUCUCGACCUCUACUGCCAUGACCCCUAGAUCCAACCACAUUUGAAGCGCUUGGGCGCAUGCAAUAGCCUCUGCAGCAAAAACUGAAGAAACCCACACAUUUUGAACAACUCUAGACCCGAAUACCUUCCCUUUCGAAUCCCUUCCAACAAUCCCAGAACAAGACCUGUGCUCAUCCUUUUUAAAUGCAUCAUCAAAGUUGAUUUUCACAAAGGGGCUCUCCAGUGGUUUCCACCUCUCUUCCACCCUCGACUUGACAGGUAAAAGAAUUUUUAGCCCAUCCAAUUCGCUCAAGUAAUUUCUUACGAAAUUUGCAGUUUCUAACGUCGUUAUCUUUUUGCUUUCAUGCACCCAUCUAUUUUUUGCUGUCCAUAUCGCCCACAAGCCACAAACAAAAAUACAGCACUGAUUCUAGGAAUUAUUCUCAAACAACCAGGUAUCCCAACUCAAAAAAUCCAUAUCUUCAAUUAAGUUUGGCCACUUACAGUUUAAUUCUUGCCAAAAUUGUUUUGUCACUGAACAUUCCCGAAAGAUAUGUUCUCUGGACUCCACCGCAUCCGCACAAAUAGGACAGAGGGCAUUUGUUGUUAAUCUCCUGUAUUGUAGAUUACUUAGCAUAGGAAUAAAAUUCAUGAAGCAUCUCCAUACUAUAAUCUUCAAUUUUUAGGGGAGAUUGACUCCUCAUAGUUUCUUGUAAAAUUCCCUGAAAUAUGUCUAGUUGUAAAAUUGAUUAGCCACCCUUAAUUGUUGCAUCAAAAGCUUGUAAACAUUACGAACUGAAAAAGUUGAAAAUACAACUAGGAUUUUUGGUAAUAAAACCGAAAAUAUAGCUACAAAUGAUAUAAAAUCUGAGUAUACAAGAGAAACAUCUAGUCAACCUAUUCAACAAAUAAUAGAUGAUUUAAAUAAAAGAAAUGUUGCUCAAGGAAAAAUAUAUUUAUACUUAACUAAUAUUCCUAUAUUAGACUAUGAAAAAAUCAUUAUUUAUUGGGCAUAGUCUAUGACUAUAGUUGUAAACAACAAUAUGUGGUCAAAAGAAAAUUUUGAAAUUACUUUGUUGGAACAUUUCAUGGAGAUGUUCUACAAUUUCUCAGACAAUGGGAAGAAUUUGAGAAAAGAAAAGAACAAAAAUGAUAGUUAAUCAACUAGAUAGGAACUCCAAAGAUCUUUUAAAAGGAUUAACUUUUAUUCUAAAAAUAGAUUUCUGGUUAUUUUGAUAAAAAAAGAUCAAGAUAGUAUAUCUAGUUAUAUUCUGUCAAAAAUUAAAUUAUGCGAUAUUAGAUAUUUAGAAGAAUUUUCUAAAUAAUUUCUUCAUUAAUAUCAAAAAUAUAAAAAUGAAAAUAUAGAAUUUUAAAAAAAUUAAUAUUUUCAUAAGUUACCUCCACCAUGUGAUGAGAUAUGUAUAAAAAAAUAUGUUUUUUUAUUCAGAAAAACAUAAUAAUAUGUUUGGUUUACUAUCAGAAAAUAUAGAAACCAUAGGGAAUAGGAUAACUUUUGCAAAAAAAAAAAAAAGAAUAAUUUUACACUUUUUGCAAAGUAAAGUUGUUAAACAAGUUAAGCAUAAAUUAAGUACUAAUUAUUGUACAAAAAUUCUAGAAAAUGAAUGGGAAUUUGGAUGUAAACCAAAACGUCCUAAUAAGAAAAAUAGAAAGUAUAAGCUAGUUAGAUGAAAACCAGGAAAUAAAAAAUAUAUUGGUAAAAGAUUUGUUAGGAAAAAAACUUCUAAAAAAUCUAAAAAUAAGAUUUGUAAAUGUUUUAUAUGUGAUGAAUGUCACAGCAACAAAUUGUCCUAACAAGGGAAAAAAUGCAAAGAAAAUGAUUAAAACUUUUGAAGAACAAUACUUAGAGAUAUGUUUCGAAAAACAUAGAAAACAUUUAAAUACUAUUUCUCAAGAAUUCCUAAAACAUGGAAUCAUAAUAAUCCUUAAAAAGAUAGAGCUGGAGAAAACAGAAAUAGAAUUUUUAGGUCUAAAACUAUCCGCAAAUGGUCUUAAACUACAAGAUCAUAUUAUUAUAAAAAUAAAAGAAUUUCCUGAAAAUAUUGAAGAUAAAAAAUAGCUUCAACAAUUUUUAGGAAUUGUUAAUUAUGGUAGAAGUUUCUUUCCUAACUUAUCUAAAAAAAUAGGUAAGUUAUAUGAAAAAUUAAAAAAUGAUAAACAUUUUAUCUGGUCUAAAACGGAUUCAGAAAUUAUAAAAAAACUAAAAUCUGAAAUAAAUCAGAGUCCAAAAGUUUAUUUAUCUAAACAAGGUAAUAAAUUAAUUCUAGAAAAUGAUGCAUCACAAAACUAUUGGGAUGUAUUUUAAAAGCUAAAACAACAAACAAUGAAAAAAUAAUAUGUGGAUAUAGUUUAGGAAAAUUUAAACCAAAUGAAAUUAAUUAUGUUAUAUAUGAAAAAGAAUUAUUAGCAAUAAAAAAAGGAAUUAAAAAUUUUCUUAUAUAUUUAGCACCUGAAAAAUUUAUCAUAAAAACUGAUAAUCAGGUAGUUAAACAAUUCCUUACUAACAAAAUUAUGGAAACUGUACCUAGAAGGAUUAAAUGGUAUAAUGAAUUAUGUAAAUUUAAUUUUGAAGUAUUAUAUGUAAAAGGUUCUGAUAAUAUUAUUGCUAAUUAUCUUAACAGGCCUUAUGGAUAAAGGUAAAAAACCUCUACAAGCUGGUGAAUGGACUAUCGUUCUCAAAGAGCCCAAUAAAAGGGAAGCAGCAACAAAUUCCAAACAAAAAAUUGUACUUGCUCAAAUACCAUUCUAUCCUAAUCAGGGAUAUUAUUUGUCAUAUCCAAUGGUAAAAUAACCAGUGAGAACAAAUGUUUUAUCAUAUCCAAUAGCAAACCAACCAGUUGGAACUUCUUUUCCAUUGACCCCAAAAAAGGUGAGUCAAUUACAAUGGUCCCAAGAUCCAAAUUCGGCAUUUCAAGCCAGUUAUGCUGAAACUAUCAAUGGAGUAUAGAAUUUGUUGAAACAACAAUAAAUUCAAGAUAUAAAAGAUCUUUCAAAAAUAAAAUAUUUUUAUAAUCUUAAAAUAAAAGAAUUUUUAUAAUCUUGGUUUAUCACCAGAUUUAUAUAAUUUUAUUAAUGAAAUAUGAAAAAACCAUAUUUCUGAUUAAAGAGUAAAUUUUAGAAGAGCUCUUACUAGAUGUUCACAAUUUUUAGUUGAAAAAAAAACUAAGGAAAGUGUAUCUAAAGAUUUAUUAUUAAAAUCAAUCUUAUACAAGGAUUGGGAUGAAUUUCAAAUGGAAUUUAUGGACAUUAAGGAGAUAAACAAUCUUCUUGAUAUACUUUAAUAUUUUAUUCAUAAAGGGAAAAAUAAUUCUAUUAUGAAUAAGAUAUUUAGAAUAUUUUUAUAUAACAAAUCUAGACAGAUUUUACUUGUCGAAAUAUUUACAAAAAUAAAUAGAAUUAUCUGCAACCAACAGAUACAAUUUUAAAAAUCUUUUUCUGAAUAUUUUCUACAAUCUUAUGUUUUUACUAAUUUUAUAGGUGAAAGUUUCCCAACUAUAAAAUAUAGAUUGGAUCAUGAACUAUUUGAUAUAACAAGUAUUGAAUAGGGUUUUGUAAAAGAAAUAGUUGUACAAAAAUUUCUUUUCAUCUUUUAAAGGAUUUUCCCGCCGUGGUAAAAUCUAAAUUACAAAACAUCAUAAACAAUGAUGACUUUUUCUACUAUUUUCUUAUUGAAAUAUGUAGCCUAAUUGGUAUGGUUGAAAAAGAAAAAAUUUAUCAGCCAUAUCAAAUAUGGAUUAUUUGAAGGAUGAUUGGAAGUCCCCGAUUAUCCGCAGUAAAUGAGGUCAAAGAACACUUGACAAAAAUCAUUGACAAGUGUUAUAAUGAUUUUAAUUAUUAUCAAACCCAAGCAGGGAUUGAUUUAAUAUCAACAGCCCAAGAUCUUCUUUUGCAAAAUAUUUAUCAACUUUGGACUGAUGGAAGAAGGAUAGUGGCGUAUUAUACUGGAAACAUUCAGGAAAGCAGAGAUGAAGAAUCUUUGUGACUAUUAAAAAAGAUAGGCGACAUAGAAAUUGAAGAUUAUUCAUCUCAUAUUCUGGAACAAAUCAGAAUAACAUGGGAGACUUGGAAUUCACCAAGACUUUCAUCAUAUUCAUUACAUUUGGAUGAAAUUGAAGAAAUGAAUCUCAACAUCCAAGAAGGCUAAAAGUCAAAAAAGACAGCCAAAUGUGAAAAGCAUCAUAAAACUUAUGAUGUGACAACACUUAUAAACAAACAAACAAAUAAGUUUGACAACGUGGAAGUCAUCAUCAAAUCAAUGAUGUGACAAGACCAAAUAAGAAGUCCAGAUGCAACCAACAAAAUUUGCAACGUGGAUCUAUCAUCAAAACACUAAUGAUGUAAGCAGUGAUAGAAGCAACCAUGACUGAAGCAACCAUUAACUCAAGCAUGCAACGUGGAAGCAACUAUGAUCAUGUAAUUAAAGAAGAACUAGACAAAUGAGACGUGGAAGUAACCACAUCCAUUGAAGCCAGAAUCCUUAUCAGAAAUGUUCGGGAUUCAAACAACAAUUGUAUAGAAUUUUUUAUUUUCUCUAUAAAUAGAGAGGAAAAUUCAAUUGUAUAGAUAUCGAGAAAAAAUAUCAAAUUCUCUCCUGUAUUUUUCAAAAUACUUAGCUUACUUUUCCUUUUGUAAUAGCCUUCCUUUUUGUUGAAUAAUUGUUUGUAAUCUAUAGUCUUUCGCUUGUAUUUUUAAAAAGGAAGGCUAUUAUAAAAGGCAAAGUAAAUUAAGUAAUUGUAAGAAUAUAGGAGAGAAUUUGAUAUUUUUUCUCGAUGUCUAUACAAUUGAAUUCUCCUAUCUAUUUAUAGAGGAAAUAAAAAAUUCUAUACAAUUGUUGUUUGAAUCCUGAAAAGUAUUUCUGAUAAGGAUUUUGGUUUCAAUGGAUGUGGUUGCUUCCACGUCUCAUUUGUCUUGUUGCUUCUUUAAUUGCAUGAUCAUAGUUGCUUCCAUGUUGCAUGCUUAAGUUAAUAGCUACUUCAGUCAUGGUUGCUUCCAUCACUGCUUACAUCAUCAGUUUUUUGAUGAUAAAUCCACAUUGCAAACUUUGUUGGUUGCAUCUGGAUUUCCUCUUUGGUUUUGUCACAUCAUAGAUUUGAUGAUGACUUUCACGUUGCCAAACUUGUUUGUUUAUUUGUUUAUAAGUGUUGUCACAUCAUAAGUUUUAUGAUGCUUUUCACUUUUGGUUGUCUUUUUUGACUUUUAGCCUUAUUGGAUGUUGAGAUUCACUUCUUCAAUUUCAUCAAAAUGUAAUGAAUCUAAUGAAAGUCUUGGUGAAUUCCAAGUCUCUCAUGCUAUUCUGAUUAUUUUCAGAAUAUGAGAUGGAUUAUUUUCAAUUUCUAUGUCGCCUAUCUUUUUUAAUAGUCGCAAAAAUUCUUCAUCUCUGUUUUCUUGGAUGUUUCCAGUAUAAUAUCCCACUAUCCUUCUUCCAUCAGUCCAAAGUUGAUAAAUAUUUUGCUGAAGAAGAUCUUGGGCUGUUGAUAUUAAAUCAAUCCCUGCUUGGGUUUGAUAAUAAUUAAAAUCAUUAUAACACUUGUCAAUGGUUUUUGUUAAGUGUUCUUUGACCUCAUUUACUGCGGAUAAUCGGGGACUUCCAAUCAUCUUUUGAAUAAUUCAUAUUUGAUAUGGCUGAUAAAAUUUUUCUUUUUCAACUAUACCAAUUAGGCUACAUAUUUCAAUAAUAAAAUAGUAGAAAAAGUCAUCAUUGUUUAUGAUGUUUUGUAGUUUAGAUUUUACCACGGCGGGAAAAUCCUUUAAAAGAUGAAAAGAAAAAUUUUGUACAACUAUUUCUUUACAAAACCCCAUUUAAUACUUGUUAUAUCAAAUGGUUCAUGAUCCAAUCCAUAUUUUAUAGUUGAAAAACUUUCACCUAUAAAAUUAGUAAAAACAUAAGAUUGUAGAAAAUAUUCAGAAAAAAAUUUUUGAAAUUGAAUCUGCUGGUUGCAGAUAAUUCUAUUUAUUUUUAUAAAUAUUUCUACAAGUAAAAUCUGUUUAGAUUUUUUAUAUAAACAUAUUCUAAAUAUCUUAUUCAUAAUAGAAUUAUUUUUUCCUUUAUGAAUAAAAUAUUAAAGUAUAGCAAGAAGAUUGUUUAUCUCAUUAAUAUCCAUAAAUUCCAUUUGGAAUUCAUCCCAAUCUCUAUAUAAGAUUGAUUUUAAUAAUAAAUCUUCAGAUUCACUUUCCUUAGUUGUUUUUUCAACUAAAAAUUGUGAAAUUCUAGUAAGAGCUCUUUUAAAAUUUACUUUUUGAUCAGAUACAUGGUUUUUCCAUUAUUCAUUAAUAAAAUUAUAUAAAUCUGGUGAUAAAUCAGGAUUAUAAAAAUCUUUUAUUUUUGAAAGAUCUUUUAUAUCUUGAAUUUGUUGUUGUUUCAACAAAUUCUCUACUCCCUUGAUAGUUUCAACAUAACUGGCUUGAAAUGCCGAAUUUGGAUCUUGGGACCAUUGUGAUUGACUUACCUUUUUUUGGGUCAAUGGAAAAGAAGUUCCAAUUGGUUGGUUUACCAUUGGAUAUGAUAAAACAUUUGUCCCAACUGGUUGUUUUACCAUUAGAUAAGACACAUAAUAUCCCUAGUUAGGAUAGAAUGGUAUUUGAACAUGUACAAUUCCUUGUUUGGAAUUUGUUGCUGCUUUCCUUUUAUUAGGCUUUUUGUUAACGGUAGUCCAUUCACCAGCUUGUAGAGGUUUUUUACAUCUAUCCAUAAGGCCUGCUAAGAUAAUUAGCAAUAAUAUUAUCAGAACUUUUUACAUAUAAAUUUUUCAAGUGCUAAAUAUAUAAGAAAAUUUUUUAUUCCUUUUUUUAUUGCUAAUAAUUCUUUUUCAUAUAGAACAUAAUUAAUUUCAUUUGGUUUAAAUUUUCCUGAACUAUAUCCACAUAUUAAUUCUUCAUUGUUUGCUGUUUUAGUUUUUAAAAUACAUCCCCAAUAGUUUUGUGAUGCAUCUGUUUCUAAAAUUAAUUUAUCACCUUGUGUAGGUAAAUAAACUUUUGGACUCUAAUUUAUUUCAGAUUUUAGUUUUUGCAUAAUUUUUGAAUCAUUUUUAGACUAGAUAAAAGAUUUAUCCCUUUUUAAUUUUCCAUAUAACUUACCUAUUUUUUUAGAUAAGUUAGGAAAGAAACUUCUACCAUAAUUAAGAAUUCCUAAAAAUUGUUGAAGCUGUUUUUUAUCUUCAAUAUUUUCAGGAAAUUUUUUUUAUUUUUAUUAUAAUAUGAUCUUAUAGUUUAAGACCAUCUGGGGAUAGUUUUAGACCUAGAAAUUAUAUUUCUGUUUUCUCUAACUCUAUCUUUUUAGGGCUUAAUAUGAUGCCAUGUUUUAGGAAUUCUUGAGAAAUAGUAUUUAAAUAUUUUCUAUGUUUUUUUAAUGUAUCAGAAAAUAUUAAAAAUAUCAUCUAUAUAUACUACACAAUUUUUUAUAUUUGUUGAAUAUAGAAACCAUUCAUCUUUGGAAGAUUUGAGGAGCAUUACAUAAUCUAAAUGGCAUUACUCUCUAUUGGUAAUGAUCAUUAGGAGCACUAAAAGCUGUUAAAGGCUUAGAUUCAUCGGUUAGAAUGAUUUGUCAAAAUCCCGACUUACAAUCAAAUUUACUAAAGUAUUUAGCUUGUUUAGCCUGAUUAAUCAAAACAUCUUUUCUUGGAAUAAAAUAUCCAUCAAUGACAAUAUUUUGAUUAAGUCUUUUAUAAUUAAUGACCAUUCUAGCUUUUCCUAUUUUAAUCUGAGCAUGGUUUCUUACCAUAAAAGUUGGACUAGAAUGUGGACUAUUAGUUUUUUCUAUUAAUCAUUUUCUAAUAAUUCAUUUAUUUGAACAUCAAAUUCAUCUGUAUCUUGUUUAGCAUAAAUCAUAGGUUUAACCCUAAUGAUUUUAUUAGGAUUUUCUAAUUUUAUUUCACAAUAUUUAGGACUAUUUUGCCAUAAUUUUAAUGGUUCUUCACUAAAAUUAUCUUCUAGAAUUUUAAACCAAUGAUUUGUUUCAAGUUGUUUAAUAUGUUCUUUUCUUGUUGGUGUAAAUUUUUUAUCACACACAAAUUUAUGAUUUUCUACUAGUGGUUUUUCCACAGAAGAUUUUUCUACAGAUAAAAUAACUAAAUUUUUAUCAAUAGAAAAUGGUAGAUGUUGAUAUAUAAAAUUAUUUCCUAAUAAUAUGUCUCCAUGCAUAGCAGGAAAACAUAAUAUUUUGGGUAUUACAAAUUGUAUAAGCCCAAAUAUGCCCGGCCCAAAUAAAUAUACAUCAGGCCCAACUAAACCCAAUAAGGCCCAAAACUAGUAACCCUAGCACUAGCCCAAAAUACAACCCUAGUGCAGCAAGCUUAACGCUGCAGCCGCCUCACCCCAACAACGCAGUGUUCUGCACGUUUGCUCUCCCUCGCGCACCUCCGCUAAUGUCGCACAUGCCGCACACGUCUCCUAUGAAUCUGCAACAAGAUCACAAAUAAUUGAUAGCAGAAAAGAAGAUGGCAAGAAUGAGGGGAUUUUUUUUAUUUUAUUUCUUUAAGAUUCGGGUAUAAAACCGAAUGAGGAUUGUGUAAAAAGGGGGAUAUCUGCUAGUUUUUUGGAAUCCAAAAAUAUACAGAAGAAAUUCUAAGAAUACAAAGGUGAAAUCGUGGUUCUGUGUUGCUGCUAUUUCAUUUAUUUCCUGUUUUGUUGUAAAAAAUAAUAAAAGAGAACAGAAACAUAGGAUCUUGAAUGGUCCUUUAUUUUUUUCUUUCUUUCGAUUUCCUUUUUCGAUUUUUUCUUUUUCUUUACUGUUUUUAAAAAAAAAGGGGAGGGGAUCUUACCUGGUACUGUCGCGGUGUCUCCUCUCCGCCGAAAUCGGAGCUUCGGUAUGAAAGGCUGACGAGUGGCGGCACAAAAGAAAAAGAUUUUUUUUAAAAACCUAGCAGAGAGUCUUGGGUUUAUUUUAUUAUUAUUUUUUUCUUUAGCUUUUGUUUGCUGCAGGUUUCAAAAAAAUAAAGAAGAAAAUUUGGUUUAAAUAGAAGGAACAAAACGGCGCCGUUUAGGGUGCCAUGACCCGCGCGUCGACUCGACCCGGAGGGGGGGAAUCCGCGCGUUCUGGCCCUGAGUGUGGAAAUUGCGCGUCUAGCCCUCCCCAUUUUGCGAUGUGUUUAAUCAAGUUUUUUUCCUUUAAAUUCGGCCCAAAUAUUUUGCUCGCGUGACGAUUUAAUCCAUAUCAGUGCGCAGUGCUUGAGUGACUUGGGAAAAUUUCUUUUUAAGUCCUCCUCUCAUGGCGUGCGUAUCAAUUUGGUCCUUCCUGGUGUUUU